GAGGCCCGACAUUGUGCUGGGGAAGGAGCUCCAGAAAGGGCCAUCCUUUCUGUUUUGGUUAGAAUCACCUUGAGAGUUAAAAAUAACAAUAAUAUAGGCACCAUAAGAGAUUCUAAUGAUCUCCUUUUACUUUUUAGGUUCAGUAUCUGAACACUUUUGCUAAAGGUGUCUGGAAAGCUCCCUGUGUUAAUUCUCGAUGAGACUACGUCUGUGCCGGCCGCUUCCUGAGCCUCUUUCCAUGUGCAUAGGCCUGCUGCAUGCUGGAGACCCGCGGCACAGCUGCCAAGUGCCCCGUGUGGUUCUGUGAUCUUGGGACAGUCACUUCCUCUCUGUGGUUGUCAGUCUUCUCAUCCCUAAGAUGGAAUAAAAAGGCCUACCUCAUUGGGCUCGUGUGGGUGAGGAGAACUGAAGAGUCUGAGAGCGCGGCACGAGCCAGAGGCUACGGAAAACACUGCCCUCCUACACUCCACCUUGGAGAGACCCAGAAAAGAACAAGCUUCAUUUGUAAAAAAGGAAAACAGCUCAUGGGGGUGGCUUAAAGGCACUCUACAGUGUGCAGAUGCCUUCUACUUCUUCCAUCUGCCCUGUCUUUCCAAGAACCCCUAUGGCCCCAGGCUCAGAACAGAGCUGAGUGCAGAAAUGAAAAUCUAUGGCUCUGUGUUCCAAAAUGAUGAAGAAUUUCAAGAUGGUGGCAGUGGUAAAAUCCUUCUCCAGGAAAAAUCUGUCCUUGGCCCAAUGUGUAAACACUUGCUGAGGAACUUGGAAUAACUUGCAGUGUCUUGCAGUAUUGUGAAACCAGCAACUUGUUCACAAUUCUUCUGAAUUUCUUGGGAAAUUUGAAGUGGAGUACCUGUACCAACAUGAAAUGACACGAAUUUAAGUGAAGCUCAACAACGAAAAGCAAAAAGAACCAAAGAGGAAGCAACUGAAACAACAUCUGGAUGUAUUUAAAAAUAUACAAUGCCUCCAAAAUCAGGUGUCAUUAAUGAAAAUUCUGAAGAAAUGCCACCGGACAUAGCCAACACACCUACGCUAUUGUUAUUCAUUUCCUGCUUUUCACAGAAAACAAUUUUGUUGCAUGGAAGAUUGUGAACUUCAAAGAGCAGAGGGGAAACUCUCCCUUGGCCCCUACCCCUCCAAGGCCCCACUUUUUCGUCAACACUCCUUGGACGCAGCAGAAGUAUGAACAUAAUAUGGUCCUGAAUGAGGCUGAGUCUUUGGGCGCAGAAGACCCGGGUUAAUAAAAAUAGGAAGGUAAGAAAAGAAAAGAAAAAUCAAGACACAUCAUAGGACUAAAUUCCUAUUAUUUAUCCACUCAGGAUUGACCACCCUUUUGGGCCAGAUAGUUGUACCCCCAUGUACCAGGUGGGCACAUGAAGACACAAGAAGUGCUGUGAUGGUUCAUUUUGCAUGUCACCUUGCGUGGAGUAUGC
rnacentral:lncRNA from 1 species